GAUGUUAAAACAAGUAAACACCUUUGUGUCUGGGGAGAGAAAUCGCUGAGAAAGCAGCUUAGCGGGCUGGUCCCUGGUGUUCCUGGACCGGCUGGCCCCCAGCCCGGGGCUAGCACGCCUGUGUGAUCACAGCCCCCAGCCUGCUGGGCUCCAGCCUGCUCCCCCACCCUCGCCCCUCCCGGUGGCCGAGAGCAGAUUACUGAGAAGAACAAUUUCUUUGUGACUGUGUAAUUCCCUCCGUGACCGCGGCAGUGGGCAGACCCCUCGCCCUGAUGCCAGACCCCUAGCAACCACGUAGGGGGGCCUUCUGGCCCUAGCAACUACCCCUCAACAUCAAGUGCACCCGCUAAUCCCUGUGGCUAGGGAACGAGUAGAAGGAGUUUCUGCCGAAUGACGGGAAUGAAGAAGAAGGGCACCCUCCAGGCCUGAUCCCUCAGUUCCCCCCAAGAGAUGCUAGGCUCCCUGGCAUGCAUGACAGGAGAAACAAGGCCAUGAACACUUCCCAGGGACACCCAGGUACUUCUGGACAUUUGUACACGCCGGAUGGGGGCUGUUUUGCUCCACAAUUCUCCCUCCUUCCAGAUUUGGGGGCCCUGCCCCUUCCAUUAGUGAGGCCUUCAGGAAUGACUGAGGAGCUCUCCCCUUUAAUCUGUAGAAGUAAUUUCAUGUUUGGUUGAAACAGAAGAUGAAAGGCAGUGGGGGCUGGGGGUGUGAAGCCCAGCAUGGCUCUACCUGCCUACCCCUGGUCCCAGGGUCUUGAAGGAAAGAAAGGUGGGCACCCCUGGGCUGGGCAGGGUCAGUGCUAUCAGGACCAGCAACAUCAAGGCAAUACCCACUUCGGAUUGCUACCCUGGGCCCCUGCCCCAGCAUCCAAGCCACCACUGGAAAGUGUCAUGCCCGUGUCUGCGAUAAACACAGAACCCUGCUUGCUCGGGGAGACGCGAGGCCCAGCAGGAGCGCCGGAGGCCGGGAAGAGUCUAGAAAGCCCUAGUCCGCCAGUCCAGCCUGGCCGGGGACAGGAGAGUUGCUGCACCACUGUUCUCUGGUUCUCUGAAACGGCCACACACACUUUAAAUGGACCAAUAAAAAGAUACAAUUUCUUUUGCC